rnacentral:rRNA from 1 species
GAUGAACGCUAGCUACAGGCUUAACACAUGCAAGUCGAGGGGCAGCGCAGUGUAGCAAUACACGGGCGGCGACCGGCGCACGGGUGCGUAACGCGUAUCCAACCUUCCCGUUACUCUCGGAUAGCCUUCCGAAAGGGAGAUUAAUACGAGAUGGUGUUGAAAUUCCGCAUGUUAUUUCAACUAAAGAUUCAUCGGUAACGGAUGGGGAUGCGUGACAUUAGGUAGAUGGCGGGGUAACGGCCCACCAUGCCUACGAUGCGUAGCCGAACUGAGAGGGUGAUCGGCCACAUUGGGACUGAGACACGGCCCAAACUCCUACGGGAGGCAGCAGUGGGGAAUAUUGCACAAUGGGGGGAAACCCUGAUGCAGCAACGCCGCGUGAAGGAAGACGGUUUCGGAUGUAAACUUCUAUCGACAGGGAAGAAAGAAAUAGACGGUACCUGAAUAAGAAAGCCCCGGCUAACUACGUG